rnacentral:lncRNA from 1 species
UUGGCCGCCGCUGCCACCCGGGGGCCCGGCGCCCGCCUCCAGCCGCGACCCGAUCCCUCCCCCCGGCGGCCACGCGCGGUGCGGGGACCGGCCCAGCCAAUCACGGGCCGACGCGCCCGCCGCCUUCGCGUCCGUCCCGCCAGGCGGCACGAGCUACUUCUGGCGGCCAAUCAGAGGCGGCAGCGCUUCUGUCAAGCUCUUCCUCCCGCCCUCCCGCGGCCCCAACCAAUCACGGCGUCCCGCGGAGCUCAGGCCCCGCCCCCGCCAGCCCGGGGCCCAGGCGCUGCACACGCGCCGUUGGCGCCCCCACCUGGCGGCAGGGCCCGCUGAGCCGCGGCCCCGCGGCCAACCACGGUUAACCUUAGUGUCUCCGGGAUGAGGCGCCUGGCCUGGGUCAAGACUUGUGCAGGCCGCUGCUGCCUCUCUUCACAUCCGGGCUGCCUAAGGCACAGACAAGCCGGGGCAUGGGGUCAUCAGGGAUGGCAGAGUCCUUCUGCCCUGCCCGGCUUCACCCCAGGCCCUGGGAGACCACCACUUACCGAAGGGUCCGGGACCCAGCUCUGGCCUCAGCUGUCCAUAGGUUGCUGGGGGGAGGACAAAAGGUGGGAGCAUAGAGUCCCCGGUGGCCCCCACCCAGGGUCUUCACCUCCCCAUCCUGAUCUCGUGUCCAGGCUCCUGUUCAGGGUCCCCUGCUCCACCUGUCUCUCCUCACACCCCAUCCGUUCCCACCUAAUCCCUCCUGUCCCUGUUCUACUCCUGCUCUCCGGGGCACUGGGUGGACCUAGCCCAAGCCCCUGCUCCCGACAGGCACCCCUACAAGCCCAUAAUGCUCCUCCAUGCACCCCAUUACCUGGCUGGCUCCCGACCCCUGAAUACGCGCCUCCAGCCCCAUAUCCAGGCUUCGGGGCGAGGCCCCAGGGCUGGACGGAGGGCCAGGAAGAGCCGCGGAGGGCCCCGGCCUGACCUGCAGAGGAGGGCUACUGUGAGCACCCUGGCCUUCUGGAGCUGGACGUCCAGGAUGCCGCAAACUUCCCGGGGCCUCAGAGGUCCCAGGCAGCGGUUCAUCCCCUAAACACUCGUUCCUACCAUUUCCUUCGGGGCCUGGAACUGCUGCUUUGGGGUAGGCAGGUGCUUCCUCCCCGUAGCCUGUAAAAGAUCCAAGAGAUUCCGGCCUGGCCCCUGGACAUCCCUCGCCCUCAUCCCCUGCCCUCUGCCCUCUGCCCCCCACUCACCGUUCCUAAAGCCAUUGGCCCCAGGGAACUCUGGAGGAGGGAGGAGGAAGUCAGACAGGAGUAGCCCCUGGGCCCCCACCCCACCCCACCCCAGCACCCCCAGGCACCUGGCUGCAGGAAGACCCCGGCUCCCAGACCAUUCCCAUAA